rnacentral:rRNA from 1 species
CACGUAGGGUGCGAGCGUUGUCCGGAAUUAUUGGGCGUAAAGAGCGCGUAGGCGGUCCGUCACGUCGGAUGUGAAAUUCCAGGGCUCAACCCUGGAACUGCAUUCGAUACUGGCGGACUAGAGUUCGGUAGGGGAGACUGGAAUUCCUGGUGUAGCGGUGAAAUGCGCAGAUAUCAGGAGGAACACCGGUGGCGAAGGCGGGUCUCUGGGCCGAUAUUGACGCUGAUGCGCGAAAGCCAGGGGAGCAAACGGG